UGUAUAGGGUCAUUAUUGCAGUGCCCACCAGCACUCUGCUACACAAUUCUGUUUAACCAACACGUCAUUUUAGCGGAGAGGAAACCCAGGGAGGUGAAGUUACUUGCCCAAGGUCACCCAGCUAGUAAACGACUAAGUGCAAAUACAUCCCCAGCCUGUGCUCUUCCUGCAGAAGUGGUCCGCUGUUAGGGUGGGUCCAAGGAGGCAUCCCAGAGCCAAGCACAUCUAAUUUGGCUCUUGAACGAGUAGUCUUCAAGGGGGAUGGUCAUUUCAGGCCGAGGGAGCAUGUGUGCAAAGACACAAAGGCAUGAUACCGGCUGGCUGGCUGGAGGGACCUGUGUGGCAGGAGUAUGGGAGACAUGGCUAAGGUGUUGAUGCUGAUGAAGUUAGAGAGAGAAAGGAAGCCAGACAUGGGAGGAGGUCUUUGCAUGCCUACAUAAAGAGCUCGGGAUUUAUUUUGUAGUCAGUGAUUUUUAAAGUGUGGUCCUGGGAACCCUGGGUGUCUCUGAGAUCCUCACAGGGCCCAGUGAAAUCAAAAUUAUUUUCCUACUAAUGCUAAACGGUAUUUGCUUUUUUCAUUCUCAUUCUCUCACAAGUGUACAGUGAAGUGUUCCAUACGACAUACGACAUCGCAACAGAUUAAGUGCAGAAACACCUUUUAGAAUCCAGCUGUCUUAAACCAGGCGUUAAAAGAGAUUUGCACAAAGUUUUCUGCCAUGUGAGACCCCUGGGUCACUGUCACCAGCACCAAGACCGUCACCAGAUGAAUUCCCUGGACUUUGGACUUCCCAGCCUCAGAAACUGUUGUUGCCUUUUGUGACUGCUUUUCUGUUUCAAGCCUGUCUAAGAUCAUCAAACAAACAGUUUAAACAGAUUUCAUCUGUAUACUAAACUUGGGAUCAGAAGAAGGGUUGGAAAUUUUCUGAUCUGAUUCACCAGGAACCCUGAACCUCUUAGAAAGGGUCUCGGUCUCAUGUCCCCUUACAGGCAACUGUAACAUUGAGUGGCAAUUGUGACACAGUGGAGAACACAUUAGACCUGACUUCAUGUUUUAGCUCUGCCACAUACCAUGUGAACCUGGACAAGCAUCUUGACCUUUCUAAGCCCCUUAGCUCUCUGAGUU